AUCAGCUUAAGCUUGACAAAAAUGAGUAUUGUAAUAUAAUCUCUAAAAAUAUAGACAGUCAUCUUGCACAAUCUUGCCAAUUUUCCUGCUAAAGAUGAUUAAAAAGUUUCAGUAAUUUAACUUGGAAAGACAAAAUAAUGUUUUAUACAAAGAAAAGACAGGAGAGUUUUCCAACACGGUGCAGAUAAAGAACAGGCUGAACAAAACUAGCCAGUGCAAAACAAAUAAAACCAAAAUAAAACAAAGUUCCUUAAUAUACUGUGAUGACAAAAUAAAAAUGACAAAGAAUCUGGAUAUAGAAAAUGGUGCAGAAAUAAUAAUCAUGGUCACAGUAGCUAUUAGAAUGAGAUGAAAGGCUCUUCUCUUCAGGUUAUGGCUCUGAGAGCAGCCACAAGACAAAACAACUGGAUUGAGAGGAAGAGGAGGAACUGUGUUGAGAAGAACCACAUAUGUACUGUACAAUGUAGUGUGAGAUUAUGGUAAAUAUGCAACACGUGCAGGAUCCAAGAGUGAUUAUCCAGACCACAGUGCAGCAGAUCCUUCUAUAUCUGAGAGAAAAUACAGGACAGGGGGCUUGGAGUUCCAAACUGCAUGUGGGAGUACAUAGCCACUAGGCAGUCUCACCUAAUCAACAUGCUAAACUGUGAUGAUGUCAUCGUGGUGCGAAUGGCCAGAGCAUCCUUGUUGCUAGAUUUAAAAAGACGGAAGUUGCCACACACAUACGGUGGGGAAGACAGCUUCCUGGGUUUUAAAAGAAAGACCAAUGGAAAGCUGGAUGGAUGGGCACAGGGAUUUGAUGUGUCAUCAGACCGGCCUUAAACGACCUAUGCUGGAGGACAGGUACUGAACUGAAGUGGACCUCCCACUACCAACCUGUAGAGGUCUCUGAUGCAGUCGUAGAGGACCCAUCUGUCAUUGUGGAAGCCAUAACAACAUUGUUCACCUGCUCCAGCCUAAAACAUCAAGACAGACUCUAUUGUCUAUUCAAAGAGCCCAAAAUAUGGAGUACUGGUCCAAUCUAAAACUCCAGGGAAAGCAGGCAAAACUGCCCUGCCACUCUGUAUCACACACCAUUUACAGCAAUGCCACCAUCAGUGAGGAGAUUCUCACUUUCUGUGUAAAAGCACGUCUACAGGUUCUUCCUACAAAAUACAACCUAUCACUGUGGUUUCCCUCCAGCCAUUACCCCCUCUGCCUGCUGCAUAACCCUCCUCAACACCUGGAGUCAGUAGCCCUCAUCAUGAACAGCUGUUCAUCAUUUAAAGAACUAUAUACUGCCAGACAUGACAGAUUGUGGACCUCAUUGCUGCUCAGAUUCCCUGCAUGGCUGAUGAGCAGAUCUUUAAACACACUACUGUACAGUCUGAAUGGUUUAACUCACCUGCAAACACUUUUCUAGUAAUUGCUAAUACACCAGAUAUUGUUAACAUCUCUCAGAAUGGCAAAACAGUUACACUAUUUUAGGUGUCAUGUGCAUUUGACUUGUUUAUGGAGGAUUCUUACUGAGACUUUAAGACUUUAAAAUAUCAAUCAUUGAUAUCUACCAUUGAGAACUGUAUUAUCCAUAACAAUGUGUGGAUUUGCUUUAAUCUGUUGGAUCAUUCUAAAAAUUUGAUUCCUAAUGAAAUUUGACUUGUAAUGUGGAAUCAAAUAAAGUAUAAAUACAGUAUAUGCAUGAACCAUGAAAAUAUUAGAAGCAGAUAUAAACUUGAUAAAGAUGGAUCGCCUUGUGGGUGAACAUAGAAAAAUAAAUAAAUACAUAAAUAAAUAAAAUAGACUCUAAACAUUCCAAGUGAAAAUUCCAUGUUGAAUGCUUGCAACACCUCAUUUACAUAAUGCAAAAAUGCCAGUGAUGCAUUAGCAAUAAAGCAAUUUAUUGGAAAACAAAUGCCAGCAAAUAACCAUUACAUUUACAUAGAAUAGAUUUAAUCUGAAUCCCUUAUGAAACAAACAAAAAAAUAUAUAUAUGGUAAUAUACUGCAAAAUAUAAUGCAAUAUAUUACAUAAUACAUUUCUAUCUAUUGGAAACUAGUGCUUAUAUUUUUCAACAAACAGCAAUAUAUACUUUGACAAUAUAUAGCAAUUUAUUGAUGUAUACAUAUGGUAUAUUUAGAAAUGGAGAGAAAAAUAAAUAUUAAUUGUUUG
ensembl:lncRNA